UUGGACAAUGGGCGCAAGCCUGAUCCAGCCAUGCCGCGUGAGUGAUGAAGGCCUUAGGGUUGUAAAGCUCUUUCGGCGGGGAAGAUAAUGACGGUACCCGCAGAAGAAGCCCCGGCUAACUUCGUGCCAGCAGCCGCGGUAAUACGAAGGGGGCUAGCGUUGCGCGGAAUCACUGGGCGUAAAGCGCACGUAGGCGGCUUACUAAGUCAGGGGUGAAAUCCUGGAGCUCAACUCCAGAACUGUCUGUGAUACUGGUGCGAUUGAGUUCGGGAAGGGUGAGUGGAACUGCGAGCGGAGAGGUGAAAGUCGUAGAUAUUCGCAAGAACACCAGUGGCGAAGGCGGCGCGCUGGCCCGCUACUGACGGUGAGGUGCGAAAGCGUGGGGAGCAAACA
rnacentral:rRNA from 1 species